rnacentral:rRNA from 1 species
AACGCGAAGAACCUUACCUGGGCUCGAACGGCUUAAGAACAACGGUGGAAACACUGUCUUCCCGCAAGGGACUUGAGUCGAGGUGCUGCAUGGCUGUCGUCAGCUCGUGUCGUGAGAUGUUGGGUUAAGUCCCGCAACGAGCGCAACCCUCGUCCUGUGUUGCUAAUCGAAAGAUGCACUCUCAGGAGACCGCCAGCGAUAAGUUGGAGGAAGGUGGGGAUGACGUCAAGUCAUCAUGGCCUUUAUGUCCAGGGCUACACACGUGCUACAAUGGGCGGUACAAUGCGCUGCGAACCCGCGAGGGGAAGCUAAUCGCAAAAAACCGUCCUCAGUUCGGAUUGCAGGCUGCAACCCGCCUGCAUGAAGCUGGAAUCGCUAGUAAUGGCAUAUCAGAACGAUGCCGUGAAUACGUUCCCGGGCCUUGUA